ACUCAAAGAUGUUAAAGGAAUUCAAAGGUAAAGAUUACUUUUUUCUACAUUUUGAAGCAUUUUUUGCUUCCUAAUUACUUCCCUUGAACUACUCUCUAACGUUUGGAGGUACAAUGUGUAUUUAGUAAACAGCAAUGAACUUUUUCUGGCGAAGGAUCUCAUCAAUUUGAUCAAAGUUUUACAGUCUGGAAGAAGAAAAGAAGGCUAGACAUCUUAAACAAUGAAGACAGAAGGAUUUACCAUAUAAGAUGAAUAAAGAAAAAGUAAGACCAGUAAACCAAAACCGGACCAAAUAGGCCAUGACUGAAGUUCAAUUGCAUUCUGCAAGAAAGUGGACAGCCUAGAUUUUGUUCUUUUCAAUGUUGAGAAGGGAUGCCAUAUUUAAGGUUUGAAACCAGGCAAGUGAAAGCUGAAUUCCAACCUACUUCAACAUACUUGUACCCACUGUCUUCAAGAUAUCAGUGUUUGAGUUGUCAAAGUUCAAAUAUAAUAGGAACAUGUUUAUCAUAUUAUGUGAUGGCAUCCUCAAAUCUUAUGCUGUAUAACAAUAUGUUUUAGAACUUAUCAAGCUUUAUCCUGUACCUUGCCAAAAAAACUCUACUCAGCAUAAUUCUCAUUAACUAAUUAUCAGUGUUACUUGCGUAUGUCAAUGUAGGCCAUUACUGCACCAGAAACACAGAAUUUGUCACGUGAAUCUAAUGAUAUGUACCGUAGUUGAGA